ACUCCUACGGGAGGCAGCAGUGGGGAAUAUUGCACAAUGGGGGAAACCCUGAUGCAGCCAUGCCGCGUGUAUGAAGAAGGCCUUCGGGUUGUAAAGCACUUUCAGUAGGGAGGAAAGGGCGAGUCUUAAUACGGCUCAUCUGUGACGUUACCUACAGAAGAAGGACCGGCUAACUCUGUGCCAGCAGCCGCGGUAAU
rnacentral:rRNA from 1 species